CAGUCGCCGCGGUAAUACGUAGGUGGCAAGCGUUGUCCGGAAUUAUUGGGCGUAAAGGGCGCGUAGGCGGGCGAAUAAGUCAGGGGUGAAAUCCCAAGGCUCAACCUUGGAACUGCCUUUGAUACUGUUUGUCUUGAGUUCGAGAGAGGUAAGUGGAACUGCGAGUGUAGAGGUGAAAUUCGUAGAUAUUCGCAAGAACACCAGUGGCGAAGGCGGCUUACUGGCUCGAAACUGACGCUGAGGCGCGAAAGCGUGGGGAGCAAACAGGAUUAGAUACCCCCGUAGUCCCUGUCUCUUAUAC
rnacentral:rRNA from 1 species